UUAUAUUACUGGAUGCUCGAAAUUGAACAGGAGAAUGCACGUUUUAAACAGCUUAUUGUACAGGUAAGUGAAUCGCCGUUCUAAUCGAAUGCGCUGCUGCACACUCACAAGCUACAGACAGUAGCUUGUACAUCACGCACACAUCACGCACGCACAGAAUCAU